GAUGAACGCUAGCGGCAGGCUUAACACAUGCAAGUCGAGGGGCAGCGUGGAGCAGCAAUGCUCUGACGGCGACCGGCGGAAGGGUGCGUAACACGUGAGCGACUUGCCCGUCACAGGGGGAUAACCGGCGGAAACGGCGACUAAUACCCCAUACGAUGUGAUGCUGCAUGGCAUUGCAUUGAAAGAUUCAUCGGUGGCGGAUAGGCUCGCGGGACAUUAGCUAGACGGCGGGGCAACGGCCCACCGUGGCGACGAUGUCUAGGGGUUCUGAGAGGAAGGCCCCCCANACUGGGACUGAGACACGGCCCAGACUCCUACGGGAGGCAGCAGUGAGGAAUAUUGGUCAAUGGGCGAAGCCUGAACCAGCCAUGCCGCGUGAAGGACUAAGGCCCUACGGGUCGUAAACUUCUUUAGACGCAGAGCAAUAAGGUCCACGCGUGGACCGAUGAGAGUAUGCGUAGAAUAAGCAUCGGCUAACUCCG
rnacentral:rRNA from 1 species